GUCCACGCUGUAAACGAUGAGUGCUAGACGUUGGAGGGCUUAGCUCUUCAGUGUCGCAGCCAACGCGAUAAGCACUCCGCCUGGGGAGUACGGCCGCAAGGUUAAAACUCAAAGGAAUUGACGGGGCCCGCCACAAGCGGUGGAGCAUGUGGUUCAAUUCGAAGCAACGCGAAGAACCUUACCAGCUCUUGACAUGGGACGUUUGGGUUCGGGAGACCGGACCCUUCAGUUCGGCUGGCGUCCACACAGGUGCUGCAUGGCUGUCGU
rnacentral:rRNA from 1 species